UAUUUUCACGAGGUCACUGCAUGGAGGGAUACCGAGUGCAUUCGAAAGAAUUGAUGCAAUGAUAUUUGCAGUGAUAUUCAUCCUUCCGCAAGUGCAACGUGGGAUAUUUGCACAUAUUAAUGGACCUUUGUUGUGUCGUUUCAGUGGAGAUUGCUCCAAAUGCUUUUGAGAUAGCCUCAUAAGACCUUCUCCAUGGUUCAAAAACUGGAAAAGAAUACAUCAACAUUCAAAGUAACUCUUAUAGAAGUUGUUGAUGCUCAAAGUUCAAUGCUGUGGAGUGGAAAGUUUGGAAUGAAAGAUUCAUACUAAAUCCUAAUGGACAUUGAUCUUUUAAGAGUGAUUUUUUGUUGAUCAAAAUCAAGAUUUGAUCUGUAGAUCUACACCAAAUAUCAAUAGAUUUUAUACAAAAAGUGUUUGGACUUAAGAAUGGCUGUGUUCCAAAUUUGUGAUUUGGGCCAACUACAACCACACUGAAAACAAAGUCUUCUUCAUUGAAUUUAAGAGUACUAGUUAACUAUCAGGCAUCAGAUUUUCCCAUUAAGUCUUUUUCCUGGGAAGGAAGUUGAGCAUGUGGCUCUGGGGAAAACUACGUUGUUUAUCAAUUUGAGAUUGUACCUGGUUCUACUAAAAGGAGGUGGUGAGGAUUUUGUUGAGAGAAAUGAGUGGAAGCGGCAGAAGACGUAGUUCUAAGUGGGAUUUGAGAGA